CUCCUCUGUUUUCUUUCCUAG
rnacentral:miRNA from 1 species